rnacentral:rRNA from 1 species
AUUGAACGCUGGCGGCAGGCUUAACACAUGCAAGUCGAGCGAGUGGCGGACGGGUGAGUAAUGUCUGGGAAACUGCCCGAUGGAGGGGGAUAACUACUGGAAACGGUAGCUAAUACCGCAUACCAUCAGAUGUGCCCAGAUGGGAUUAGCUAGUAGGUGGGGUAAUGGCUCACCUAGGCGACGAUCCCUAGCUGGUCUGAGAGGAUGACCAGCCACACUGGAACUGAGACACGGGCCAGACUCCGACGGGAGGCAGCAGGGGGGAAUAUUGCACAAUGGGCGCAAGCCUGAUGCAGCCAUGCCGCGGUGGUGAAGAAGGCCUGCGGGUUGGAAAGCACUUUCAGCGGGGAGGCGUUACUCGCAGAAGAAGCACCGGCUAACUCCGUGCCAGCAGCCGCGGUAAUUC